AGUGAACGCUGGCGGUAGGCCUAACACAUGCAAGUCGAACGGCAGCACAGUAAGAGCUUGCUCUUACGGGUGGCGAGUGGCGGACGGGUGAGGAAUACAUCGGAAUCUACUUUUUCGUGGGGGAUAACGUAGGGAAACUUACGCUAAUACCGCAUACGACCUACGGGUGAAAGCAGGGGAUCUUCGGACCUUGCGCGAUUGAUUGAGCCGAUGUCGGAUUAGCUAGUUGGCGGGGUAAAGGCCCACCAAGGAGACGAUCCGUAGCUGGUCUGAGAGGAUGAUCAGCCACACUGGAACUGAGACACGGUCCAGACUCCUACGGGAGGCAGCAGUGGGGAAUAUUGGACAAUGGGCGCAAGCCUGAUCCAGCCAUACCGCGUGGGUGAAGAAGGCCUUCGGGUUGUAAAGCCCUUUUGUUGGGAAAGAAAAGCAGCAGGUUAAUCCCCCGCUGUUCUGACGGUACCCAAAGAAUAAGCACCGGCUAACUUCGUG
rnacentral:rRNA from 1 species